rnacentral:rRNA from 1 species
AAAAACAUGGCUUUUAGAUAAAAAUUGAAGGUCUGACCUAUCCGCUGAUAAUUGAAGGGUCGCGGUAUUUUGACCGUGCAAAGGUAGCAUAGUCAUUUGUCUUUUAAUUGGAGGCUGGAAUGAAUGGUUUGACGAGAUAUUAACUGUCUCAAUUAGUAAUAUUGAAUUUAACUUUUAAGUAAAAAGGCUUAAAUGUAAGUAGGGGACGAUAAGACCCUAUAGAACUUUAUAAUCUAACUUAUAAUUUUAUAAGUUAGAUUAAUUUGCUGGGGUGGUGUAGAAAGAAUUAGAACUUUUUAUAAAUGAGGACAUAAUAAAUGAAUAAGAGAUCCAUUAUUAAUGAUUAUAAGAAUGAGUUACCUUAGGGAUAACAGCUUAAUCUUUUUUGAGAGUUCUUAUCAAUAAAAAGGAUUGAGACCUCGAUGUUGGAUUAUGAUUAGGUUUAGGUGAAGAAGUUUAAAUUAUAAGUCUGUUCGACUUUUAAAAUCUUACGUGAUCUGA